rnacentral:tRNA from 1 species
CAUUAGAUAACCUAAUAUAAGGUGUAAGAUUUUUAAUCUUAUUAUGUAUAUAAUUAUACUUUAAUGG